UACGUAGGGGGCUAGCGUUGUCCGGAUUUAUUGGGCGUAAAGGGCGCGUAGGCGGUUCGGCAAGUCUCUAGUGAAAUCUCUGGGCUCAACUCAGAGUCUGCUGGGGAAACUGCCGGGCUUGAGUGUGGGAGAGGAGAGUGGAAUUCCCGGUGUAGCGGUGAAAUGCGUAGAUAUCUGGAGGAAUACCGGUGGCGAAGGCGGCAUCCUGGACCGGUAUUGACGCUG
rnacentral:rRNA from 1 species